AAUCGCAUCGGUGAUGGAGCUCACCAUUAACCGCCCGUAAGGGAUAAUGGCUCCUGCAAGGAA
rnacentral:ncRNA from 2 species